rnacentral:lncRNA from 1 species
AUUUUCUUAAUAUGUAAGUAUAUUUAAAUGCAUAAAAUAAUUGAAAUUGACUGCAGACCUGAAAGUUUCAAAGUCACAGGAUAGCAUGUGAUCUGCCAUAUGUUGAACCAAUAAACAAGUACAUGAAUUCUUGAAAACUGUGGUACGCAAUUUGCAUAUAAACUCUUACAAUAAUAGCUUCAUUGUAUAUUGUUUUUCCAUUACCGUUAACUGUACUAGUUACAAUUACCAAUCUUAUACAUAUAGUCCUUGUUCUCAGGUUUUAGUAUCCACAAUUUUUAAAAAUUAGUUAUUUGUAGGUCAUUAAGUAUCGUGAUGAGGGCUGAAUUUCAUUUACUUAUUUCAAGUAUUAUCUAGCAUUGCAAAUUUGAAGUAUGGGGUCUGGAUUAUGAUUCUUCGUUUCUGCACUCUUUUUUUAUAAGGCUGUUUUUCUCAAUUCUUAUAGAUAAUGUCUGUUUUACUUUAUUCUAUUGUUUUUUAACAUAACUAUCUCUUUUCUUUAUUAGUUUGGUGCAUCAUUUUUCACAUAUUGUCAAUUAUUUUUUAUUCUGUAAGCCCCAUCAACACCUUCAAUGAUUACUUCAAGUUUAAUGUAACGAUAUAUUGAGGGUUUGGAGUCGAAGAUUUAAUCAAAUGUCCGUAUAGAAAAAUGUAUUUAGUAUAUGUUUCACUUAAAAAUUGAACCACAAUUAUUUGAAGGCUUUCACUUUGCUUGUUAUUUUGAAGAACUUUAAUGAAAUACAAGUAUGAUAGUAAUUCUACGUGGAUUAUUAUACACAUACAUUAUUUGUAUUUCUUCAUAAACUGAAAAAUAUUACAGUCAUACCUGAAAUUGACAACUAAGUAAAAAUGUCUGGAUUGGAUUUUUCUUCAUUUAUGUAAAACAAUUUUAGAAGCCCUUUUUCUGUUUUCUUUUUUCUUUUUAUCCAGUUUGUUCUAUUCUCUGUCUUAUAGCAGGAAUAUGACAAUUUUGUUCUUCUUCAAAUAUUCCGUAUAUUUGUACAUUGUAUGUUGGCGUUUGUGUUUGUGGCAGUUUGGUGAUCUGUUUUGUUCGCCACUUAUAGUAGAUGUAUUGGAUGUGUUUGAUUUGUAACCCGGAUUUGUUUUCGAUUUUUAGGUUUAUGACUAGUGAACAGCAGUAAACUACUGUUGCCUUUAUUCAACAUUUCAAUAUUCUCUAUUUUUGUUGCUUUCAAUCACGCAUUUGCGUGUCACUUUACGGAGCUAAGGUUGAAUGUUAAAGACCUUUAUAUGUUUGUCUUAAUGAAAAUGCAUGUUUGUUAAAUAAAUAGUCGCUCUAGGUGAAAAACGAUAUCUAUUUAAAAUCGAUAACAGUUAUUUUUGUCAAUUCCUUUAUUUACAGUUGAUCAUAAAAAAAAACUUAUCUUCUUCCACCGAUUACAAGAAAGACUUUGGUGCCAGAGUGUUGAAUAUUAUAUUCAAAUGACACAUAUCAUUCAGUCACGCUAUGUCCGAUUACAUCAUACACAAUUUACAAUGUAUUAUGCACCAUAGAUAUUACAUGUAUAACCACGAGAAAAUUACUAAAUCUGCUAUUUGGCAACUUAUGAACGAAGACAAUAUUGCAUAAAUAAAAAAAAAUUAUUGUCCAAUUGUAAUGGCAAAAAAAGGACGAUAACAGCAAUGAAAUUCGGAUUUAAAACUCAUAGUAUUGAACGGACGCUUACCUUUUAUUGUCUUUAAUAUCGUUAUUUUCUUAAACAAAUAUUGAAUGUUUCAUUCACUCUAGAAUGUUUUAUAAUCACAUAUUUGUUGUUUUUGUAGUUUUUAAAAGAAGUUGAAAAGAACUAUGAAGUUUACUGUGUGUUUAGUUGUAUGUGUGUUGUUAGUAUUCGUAGAAGGUAAGACUCGAUUAAAUUUAAAAGAAAGAAGCAAACGUUACAAAUGAAUGUGUAAACUCAUAAGUAGCAAUCAAACUGACAAAGUCAUGGCAAAAAAAUCAACAAAAAGACAAACUACAGUAGAGAAAACAUAACACUAAUUUCUAACGAAUGAACAAACCUAACAUUAAUCAGGGGCUCUGAAAGAGUAAGCAUAACGUCUUUUUAUAUGUCAUCAUUCGUGUACUUUUAAAGGUGUUCAUUAUCACUGAACCAGUAUAUAUGUGUUAAGGGGCCAGCUGAAGGACGCCUCCGGUUGCGAGAAUUUUUCGUUGCAUUGAAGACCUGUUGGUGACCUUCUGCUGUUGUCUGCUCUAUGGUCGGGUUGUUGUCUCUUUGGCACAUUCCCCAUUUCCAUUUCAAUUUUACCUAUGUUUGUCUUAACAAAAAUGCAUGAGGGUACCCCAAAUUAAGACAGUAUUUAAAAAAAAAGCUUAUACUCAUCAUGUUACCGUAUUCCUGAUUUAGUACAGGCAGUUCCAUGUAGAAAAAAAAACGGUGUCUUAAAUCAAUAGCUUUUUCCGCUAGCUGAACCUAUUGCUUAUAUUGACAACAAUGAGAUAUCUCCGAGCAGAACAAAAUGAUAGUAAAGGUUAAAUUGUCAAAAAUCUUGGUAUAACAGUCAACCUUGUGUUUUCAUUAUUAUCAUUAUAAAUAGAAUCAACAAAGACAACAAAAUGGCACAUCAACACUCUAAAAACAAAGUCUAUAGGGAAAAAUGAAAGGUAUACAAAAAAGUGACCAUUGCACAAAAAAACGACAACAGGAUGUGUAGAUAUUUAGCAACGUCAAAGGCAAGUUCUCAAGAAUGGACCAGACAGUCAAAGUAUAAAAUAUGCAAAGACAAUGGAAAACGACAGUGCCUAAAAUCUUUACUUCUAGACCAACAUGAUUGUAUCAUUUGUCAUGUUGAUACGGAAUAUUUAUCAAAUCUCGUGAAGCGAUAACGAAGAGAUACAAUUAAGAUAAAGACACAAACGUGUUUAAUGCAUGUAUACAAUUUUGAAGAUCCUAUAUUUUGGCUUCGAGCAUCUAUAAAGAGACGUGUAUUAUCAAAAUGGGAAUCUGCUGUAGUUUAGUUAGUUUUGUUGAAUGUUAUUGGUUAUUAUUUUACAUAUUUUGUCAUACAAAAGUAUAUAAAGUGUGUACGUUUUUGAAAUAAGUGUAAUUCUAGCUAUCUGUUGGUACUCAACGAAAAGGAAAAAGUUGUCCAUCGCUUUGUUUUUUUCUUAACAGACAUUCAACGAAUCUUUCUUUUUAAAACAAUUUCAGUGAAUAAGGCAAAUGGGGAAAUACUAGAACACCAUGGAUCUCUUCAAAAGUAAGUUUAGCUAAAAUCUUGGACAUUUUGUUGAAAACUUGACAUUUCCCUCUCCAUUUAGCCAUUAUCAUGUUGUCCAAGAAACUUAAAAUAUAUUAUUAAACCAAAAAUCACGAUACCACAAAAAAGAGGUAAUAAUAAUUGAAAUUUCAUAAAUCCAUAAAGAUCAUUCAACGGUAUUGGGAAGAGUCGAGAGGGUAUUUAGUAUAAUGUUCCAUCUAUUCAUGCUGAUAUCACGUUAAAAUGUCGAGAGAAAAAAGCAUGCGUUCACAAUCAAAAACGUAAAUGUACAGACAAUUGUCUUACAAAGACUUGGAAUAAAAUUGAGAAUGGAAAUGGGUAAUGUGUCAAAGAGACAACAACCCGACCAAAUAAAAAACAACAGCAGAGGGUCACCAACAGGUCUUCAAUGUAGCGAGAAAUUCCCGCACCCGGAGGCGUCCUUCAGCUGGCCCCUAAACAAAUAUAUACUAGUCCAGUGAUAAUGAACGCCAUACUUAUUUCCAAAUUGUGCACAAGAAACUAAAAUUAAAAUAAUACAAGACUAACAAAGGCCAGAGGCUCCUGACUUGGGACAGGCGCAAAAAUGCGGCGGGGUUAAACAUGUUUGUGAGAUCUCAACCCUCCCCUAUACCUCUAACCAAUGUAGAAAAGUAAACGCAGAACUAUGCAACACUUUUAGGAAUUUUGGAUCUCAAUGCUCUUCAACUUCGUACUUUAUUUGGCCUUUCAUAACAUUUUUGAUUCGAGCGUCACUGAUGAGUCUUUUGUAGACGAAACGCACGUCUAGAGUAAAUUCCUGGUAUCUAUUAUGAGUUUAUUUCAAAUACCUUUAUACACACAAAGUAUUCACAUCUCAAAAAGAAAUACUAUACACUUGAUAUAUGAGAUGCUGUAACUUCGACAGAAGACUUAUCUGAUUACGAAUGCCAAGAUUCAAUGUGAUAUGAGGCAGAUACGACUUAAUAUACAUAUCGUCAGGUCAUAUGUUUUUAUAUGUCAUAUGAAUUCGUACUAUGUAUGGUAAGUGAUAACCUUUUUAAAUGUUCUAUAAAAGUUGCUUUACCAAUCUGAUCGCCGGUAGAAAGUAGGUUCUAUUACGUUUAGAAAUGUUCUUUGAAUAUAUUUGACCUUACUAUAAGUAUUGUAUGAUCAUAUGUUUUCAUACAUCAUAUGAAUUCGUACUAUUCAUGCUAAUAAUGGCAAUUGUGACGUCACAAACAAUAAAAUCACAAAAAUAUUGGACUCCAAUUGAAAUUUAUAACAGAAAGUCCUUAAUCAUUUGGCAAAAAGCUAAAACAAAUCAAACGAAUGGAUAACAACUAUGAAUGUAUUCAUAAAAGGACGGAAACCCAUGAGACGAGUGUUCAUAUAGUUAUAAAGUUAUCAUUGAAGCAGAAGAUGUAUAUCUUUUAUAUCGAACUGUAUUCAUACCAUUGAUAAGCAAACUAUAUGAUUACACUUAAUUGUAAGCUUUGUUUUAGGCUUGAGAAGAGAGCUGUGAGCUGUGGCACAUAUAGAAAAUCUUGCUCGUUUCGUAAGUGCUGUUCUGGUUAUACCUGUUCGUAUGGAAGAUGUCGUUCCAGUUACGGGAAGUGAACUUUUGUCGUUCCGGAUACGGGAAAAAGAACUUUACCAAUUUAUAUUUCCAAUAUCUACACAUCUUAUUGAUAAUAAUUACAGAACUAAAUGUUUAUGCAGUACAAUUAAAAAUGUUGCG